CUACGUAACUCAAACUGGUCUCUAACUUGCAGCAAUUCUCCUGCCUCUGCCCCUCGAGAGGUGAGAUGACAGAAGUGCACCACGCCCUGCUAUCCGCCGCGUUCUGAUCGCCCUCAGACAGGGUCAUCCACACUUAACGGACAUGCAAUAGGGGAGCAGAGACCUGCUCAAGGCUUCAAUUCGGCAAAAGGCGCCCAGCGUGAGGCCGGGAGCCGCCCAGGAGGAGCGGAAAUGGACUUCCCGCCCGGGGAGGUUAAGGCGGAGCCAGGCACCGAGCAGCAUAUAUAAAACACGGUCCUCGCCCAAGCCAGUACUCGGAGAAGGCAGACGGAAGGAAGGAGCUGAGCAUCUACCUCCGCUGGGGCCACGUCGUAGUCCGAGUUGACUCGGGCCAAGAGCCCAAGACCACUUCCCGCUACUAAGUCUGGAAAAAGGGACGCCAGCUCGCAAACGCGGGACUUCCGGUUUUUUGCCGGAAGCGGAAGUUGUUUGAGGGACUAGAUUAGUGGCAGCGUCGCUCUAGACCUCAACCUUGUUAGGCUAGUCUAUGGUUCUAACUCGUCUCUUGCCACCCGGCCGAGCUCGGUUCGAGCCCGAGUGGCUUCUGUCGCCCGGGAGGAGGGCUGCCUCUUCCUCUGCCCCGCCCGUUGACUCAGUGGUAAAAAGAGAAGAGAUGAGCAGGUAUUCCUAGAGUCUCCGAGGCCACACCCUGGAACUUCCGAUGCCACUCAAAGACAGAAAGGGGUAGUGUGUUGUUCCACCUUGGGUGGGGUCACUCCGGUUGAGGCUUGGCGCGGUCUACUGGACAAGCCCAGUGUCCUACGUUGCUUUCUUUUGCUGUGAUAAACACUGUGAUCCGAAGCAGUUUGGAGAGAAAAGAGUUCGUUACAGUUAACACGUUACAGCCACACCACCCAAGAAAACCAGGGCGGGAGCUCGGAGCGGAAUCCGCUGUAUAUCUGCACACCACGUGCAUGCCUGAUAUCCAUGGAGGCCAGAAGACGCGCAGUGAAUCCCAUGGAACUGAACUUAAAGACAUUGUGAUACGCCAUUGCUGGGGACUGGGCCACGGAGCCUUGGUGACUGGACAAGCCCACUGACACCAAGCUAUGCUCCAAAGGAAGACUUGACAAAAUCACCGUGGAUGGGAAUCUCACCAUCACCCCAGCAUCUGGAAGCAGAGCAAAGCCUCUGUGGCAAAGCUUAGUGACCUUGCCCCCUUGUGGCCCCUGCUCCCUGAGCCCUGCAUCACAGUGACUGUUGUGUAACCAUCCUGGCAGAAGGGACAAGUUUUAAAGAGAGACAUCCGUGCCCCUCCCUCUGGCUAUCAGAGGAGUGAAGCAACGGUCCCCAAAGAAUUGCAGUGUCCCUGAGAGCGAGCUGUUGCAGUAAUUUCUUACCCCAAAAGCCUGUAUAAAAAGCACACAGCCAGUUAUAUUUAUAAGCUGUAUGCCUAGAUUGGGCAGAUAUAUCACUACAUUAAUUUAUUCCACAGCUAUGAGAUCCCUUGCUACUUGCAGCUUUUCCAGGCCACGUGGUCCUGCUCCAUCUUCCACCUCCUCGUCCUCCUUUCUUCCUCUCUCAGAUGUCCAGUCCCACCUUUCCCUUCCCCUGCCCAAUCAUGGGUUCUAGCCUUCAUUGGACCAGUCAGAAUGGGGAGAAGGUUCAAUUAACAUCAAAAUAUAAAUAGCACCAGGGAAACCUACAAUAGCAUCCUGCUUGAAGAAGGAAAAGGCCUUGUGCCAGCCAGAGGAAGGAUGUUUCUCCCAGAGGGAGAUUUGACACAGUUGUGGCAGCUUGUCAGACUACACUGCAGAAAGGCUGAAGCUGAGACAAGACAGGUAAGGCCCCCGUGACAAGGACUACAUAGUUAUUCCUAUCUCUAAGCUGCCUGUCAGAACUCAGAGAUAGAUUUGGUGUGGAAUGAUCACUGGACUUCAUCGUGUUCCUUGUUCGUUUUCCCAAUGUGGCUGUAUUAAAGGUUGUGUUUUAUAAAAAGAUAGAGAAGAAAUAUGUUUGCUGGAUGUGCAGUCAGGUCUGGGGGGAUGGGGUGCCUCUGUGGGCCCAUGCUGAGGCAUCCCUUCCCCCUGAGGGACCAGCCACACAAAAAUAUAGAAUGAAUAGAAUAAAUAGAAUACAUAGAAUAAAUAGAAUAAAGUUUAUUCAGGGCAUGCGGAAGGGAGUUGAGAGAGUAGAGACAGA